rnacentral:rRNA from 1 species
GUAACACGUAAAGAACCUGCCCUCAGGUCUGGGAUAACCACGAGAAAUCGGGGCUAAUACCGGAUGGGUCAUCGGACCGCAUGGUCCGAGGAUGAAAGGCGCUUCGGCGUCGCCUGGGGAUGGCUUUGCGGUGCAUUAGCUAGUUGGUGGGGUAAUGGCCCACCAAGGCGACGAUGCAUAGCCGACCUGAGAGGGUGAUCGGCCACACUGGGACUGAGACACGGCCCAGACUCCUACGGGAGGCAGCAGUAGGGAAUCUUCCACAAUGGACGAAAGUCUGAUGGAGCAACGCCGCGUGAACGAUGAAGGCCUUCGGGUCGUAAAGUUCUGUUGUAAGGGAAGAACAAGUGCCGCAGGCAAUGGCGGCACCUUGACGGUACCUUGCGAGAAAGCCACGGCUAACUACGUGCCAGCAGCCGCGGUAAUACGUAGGUGGCAAGCGUUGUCCGGAAUUAUUGGGCGUAAAGCGCGCGCAGGCGGCCUCUUAAGUCCGAUGUGAAAGCCCCCGGCUCAACCGGGAAGGGCCAUUGGAAACUGGGAGGCUUGAGUAUAGGAGAGAAGAGUGGAAUUCCACGUGUAGCGGUGAAAUGCGUAGAGAUGUGGAGGAACACCAGUGGCGAAGGCGACUCUUUGGCCUAUAACUGACGCUGAGGCG